rnacentral:misc_RNA from 1 species
UAAUACCUUCUUUACGAUUUAAUUGAUCACAUGCUUGUUGUACACUAUUUGUCAUUGGAUUUGGUCCACAACUAAAAACCCCGACACGUUCCACCUUUGGAUAACCCGGAAAAAAACGGGAAACAGAAAAAACGCUUGUAGUCCGGUAAAAAGACUUUUGUUUGAAAUACGUUGAAAAUGUCGUUCACAAAUAUACUUUGAAAUUCAGGAGAAAAAAAAUGGAUUUAUUCGAAGAAAAAGACAUUGAAAACAUUGAUAUCUUACCAA